rnacentral:lncRNA from 10 species
UGACAACUGUGCAUGAAUAGAAGGAGGAUGCAAAGCCAGCCUGCCUUGUCUCGUGCUGUCUCUCCUCUCCAGUGGCUGUGCUUCCUCCUCUUCCCUUUGGCCACCUCUGAGCACAUUAAGCUUGCAGGAUUGUGAUGGGAUUUAAAGGCAUUUCAGCUACUCAUGUGCACAGCGCUCUUCUCCUCAUUCUACCUGGAGAACAACACUAAGAAGGUACAGUCAGUGAGAGCUUUCAGAGGAGAACAAGUCUGGAUGAGAAUCCUCUCGAACUGGGCAUCAGAAUAGGUUUCUCCUCCUCACUCAUCUCUCUGUGACACACAGCCCUCGAAAGGCAUGCCAUCCCACAGACAUUUUUCCUGGAAAAAGAGACAGAACGUAAUCAGGAAAUGUGAAAAUAAAAGAAGAAACGAUGGGUUAGAGAAGAUCCAGGCUAUUCUCACGGAGCAAAUAUCUGGGGGCAAAGAAUAAUACAAAGCUUUAACGAAGACCGCAGAAGAACUUCAUAUCUGAGUACCAUUUGCAAUCGAUUUACAAAUAAUGCCAGCAUCCUUAGCGACUUCUUCAGGCAAGGUUAUACUGGGGGUUUUUGAGGCUAAGCAGGUGAACUGGGAGUACCGCACACAGCAUGGCUUCCAGCCUGAAGUGACUGUAAAAUGCCAGUGAAUAGAGAGGCUCAAGGCUGAGUAAAGGAUCCUGCACACUCAACAGGCUCAUCCUUCUCUGCACCCGAGUUGUUCAUAGAGUCCCAGUUACAGAGCUUUCAGAAGGCGGAAUUCGUCCACAGCACACUAUUGAUGCCUAUCGAAUCUAAGGAAAUUAACUAAGAAGGGAAGAAAUAAUCUUCAUAGAAAAGGGAUUUGAGAACCCAGAAGAGGGUAUGGGCCUGGCAGUGUGCAUGCUGCAAACUAUGCACCAUCACUGGCCUAAAACGCACCUCUGUGUGCAUCAUUUACUCACGUUUAAAAAUCACCCUCUACUUGUUCUCCUGUGACCCUCAUUGGACUAUAUCCAGACAGCACUGAAAGUGAUAGCCAGAAAAAGUAGAAACAACCCAUGUGUUCAUCCACUGACGAAUGGAUCAAAACAUGUGGCGUGUCCAUCCAUACAAGGGGAUAUUACCCAGCAGUCAAAAGGAGCAAAGAACUGAUGUAUACCACACCAUGGCUGAUUCUCAACAGUAUGUUCAGUGAAAGAAACCAGUCACAAAAGCACAUGUACUGUAUGUCUAUUUAUAUGAACUGCUUGGAGGAGGCACCUAGUGGUUGCCAGGGGCUUGGGGUGGGGGUGGAGGGCAGGAAUGGGGAAUGCCUGCCCCCUCCAUGGGGUUUCUUUGUGGGGUGAUUAAAAUGUUCUAAAAUUGGUAUGGUGAUGGUUGCAUGAGUCUGUGAAUACACUAAAACCACUGAGUGGUACAC